AUUGAACGCUGGCGGCAUGCUUUACACAUGCAAGUCGAACGGCAGCGCGGGCUUCGGCCUGGCGGCGAGUGGCGUACGGGUGAGUAAUAUAUCGGAACGUACCCAAGAGUGGGGGAUAACGUCGCGAAAGUUACGCUAAUACCGCAUACGAUCUAAGGAUGAAAGCAGGGGACCGCAAGGCCUCGUGCUCCUGGAGCGGCCGAUAUCUGAUUAGCUAGUUGGUGAGGUAAAGGCUCACCACGGCAACGAUCAGUAGCUGGUCUGAGAGGACGACCAGCCACACUGGAGCUGAGACACGGUCCAGACUCCUACGGGAGGCAGCAGUGGGGAAUUUUGGACAAUGGGGGCAACCCUGAUCCAGCAAUGCCGCGUGAGUGAAGAAGGCCUUCGGGUUGUAAAGCUCUUUUGUCAGGGAAGAAAAGGUCGUGGCUAAUAUCCGCGACUGCUGACGGUACCUGAAGAAUAAGCACCGGCUAACUACGUGCCAGCCGCCGCUGUAACAC
rnacentral:rRNA from 1 species